rnacentral:rRNA from 1 species
UACGUAGGGGGCAAGCGUUGUCCGGAAUUAUUGGGCGUAAAGGGCUCGUAGGCGGUUUGUCGCGUCUGCUGUGAAAGCUCGGGGCUUAACUCCGGGCCUGCAGUGGGUACGGGCAGACUAGAGUGCGGUAGGGGAGACUGGAAUUCCUGGUGUAGCGGUGAAAUGCGCAGAUAUCAGGAGGAACACCGGUGGCGAAGGCGGGUCUCUGGGCCGUAACUGACGCUGAGGAGCGAAAGCGUGGGGAGCGAACAGG